rfam:Cryptococcus amylolentus CBS 6039 supercont1.15, whole genome shotgun sequence.
UGCGAAAUAGUGUAAAGGAAACACCUCAGUCUCAUGAGCUGGUAUCGGGUGGUUCGAUUCCCCCUUUCGCGU